rnacentral:misc_RNA from 1 species
ACACUUCCGGUUUUGGCGGCUUUUUCUUCACAUGGCUUAAAUUUUAUUUAAACAUUUGAAAAUACAGAAUGGAUCAGGAUUUGUAUGACGAGUUUGGAAAUUACAUCGGCCCAGAGCUUGAUAGCGAUGACGAUGAUGAAGAGGAUUCUGACGACGAACGGGAGGAGCAUGCUGACAGGGAAUAUGGAGAUGAUGAUGAUGAAAUGGAACAAGAUGAUGACCACAAUGAAAUGCAGGUGGUUCUACACGAGGAUAAGAAGUAUUAUCCAACAGCAGAGGAGGUGUAUGGCCCAGAGGUGGAGACCAUUGUUCAAGAAGAAGACAAUCAACCAUUGACAGAACCAAUUAUUGCCCCUGUCAAAAAGAAGAAAUUUGCCAUGACUGAACAGGAUCUUCCAGCAACUUCAUACAAUAUGGAGUUUUUGGCGGACUUGAUGGACACACCAGAACUGAUAAGAAAUGUAACCCUUUGUGGACAUCUACACCAUGGCAAGACCUCUUUUGUUGAUUGUUUGAUUGAGCAAACUCAUCCAGAAAUAUACAGCAGUGAUGACAAAGAUAUUCGUUACACAGACACUCUCUUCACAGAACAAGAGAGAGGUGUUAGUAUAAAAGCCUCCCCAGUGACGCUGGUCCUACCAGAUUCCAGAAAUAAAUCCUACCUGAUGAAUCUGUUUGAUACGCCAGGUCACGUGAAUUUCUCUGAUGAGGUGACCGCAGCUUUCAGGAUCAGUGAUGGAGUGGUCAUAUUCAUUGACGCAGCAGAGGGAAUCAUGCUGAACACUGAAAGACUCCUCAAACACGCUGUCCAGGAGAAGCUCCCUGUCACCAUCUGUCUGAACAAGAUUGAUCGGCUUAUGUUGGAGCUGAAGCUCCCUCCCACUGAUGCUUACUACAAGUUGAGACAUACUCUGGAGGAGGUUAACUCGCUUCUGAGGUUAGAUAAGGAAAUUAACAUUCUUGUGAAACAAGGGAGGUAACUCACUCUCAAAGCUAGAGAAAGGGAGUGAACUUGCAAUGAAUCUAGUUUUUCUACUUCUUUAAUAAAUUUUGUCUCUAAAUUUUCAGUGAAAAGCAAUUCCUCUUUAUUAUCAUGAAUUCUAACUGAUAAUGGAAUAAAAUUCAUUGUAGCGGUGCAUUUAUUAAUGUAAUAUACAUAAGAAUUUUUCUUUUUUGCAGUGUUUACUCAGAAGAUGAGACUGGUGUGACAGUUUCUCCACUGCUUGGAAAUGUGUGCUUUGCCAGUUCUUACUACAGAUUCUGUUUCACUUUGGGGUCUUUUGCCAAGAUUUACAGUGAUUCAUUUGGUGGGAUAAACGACAAAGAAUUUGCAAGAAGACUUUGGGGUGACAUUUACUUCAAUAGUAAAACGAGAAAAUUCACAAAAAAACCUCCCUCGAGUUCAUCUCAAAGAAGCUUUGUGGAAUUUGUUCUGGAACCUAUGUACAAGAUUUUUGCUCAGGUUGUUGGUGAUGUGGAUGAAUGCCUACCAAGGCUGUGUGAUGAGUUAGGUAUAUCACUUACGAAGGAGGAGAGGAAAUUGAACAUUCGACCUUUGCUAAGGCUUGUUUGUAACCGGUUCUUUGGAGAUUUCACUGGGUUUGUGGACAUGUGUGUGAACUUUAUAAAGUCCCCAGUGGACAAUGCCCAGACCAAAAUAGAAAACAUCUACACAGGAGGCUCAGACAGUGACCUGGUGGAGCAUAUGUGUCAGUGUGACCCAGAUGGACCUUUAAUGAUCCACACCACCAAACUAUAUCCCACCCAGGACGCGACCAGUUUUCAUGUGCUGGGCCGCAUCAUGAGUGGAACUCUAUUAGCCAAUCAGGAAGUCCGAAUUCUGGGAGAGAAUUAUUCUCUCCAGGACGAGGAGGACUCGAGAUUUGGACAAGUAGGACGUCUCUGGAUUUCUGAGGCCAGGUAUAAGGUGGAGGUUAAUCGCGUGCCAGCAGGGAACUGGAUCCUGAUUGAGGGCAUUGACCAACCAAUUGUGAAGACAUCAACCAUUACUGAUGUGUCUAACUCUGAUGAGGUGUACAUUUUCAGACCACUAAAAUUUAAUACAAGUUCUGUCAUCAAAAUAGCAGUGGAACCUGUUAAUCCCUCAGAACUUCCAAAAAUGUUGGAUGGAUUACGGAAGGUCAACAAGAGUUAUCCACUCCUUACCACCAAGGUAGAGGAGUCUGGAGAACACAUUAUACUGGGUACAGGGGAGCUGUACCUGGACUGUGUCAUGCAUGACCUGAGAAAGAUGUACUCAGAAAUAGAUAUCAAGGUAGCUGACCCAGUUGUCUCUUUCUGUGAGACAGUGGUGGAAACAUCUUCACUGAAGUGUUUUGCUGAAACUCCCAACAAGAGGAAUAAGCUGACAAUGAUUGCUGAACCUCUGGAAAAAGGUUUGGCGGAGGAUAUAGAAAAUGAAGUUGUACAAAUCACCUGGCCUAGGAAAAGACUAGGAGAGUUUUUCCAGACAAAGUACGAUUGGGAUCUGUUGGCUGCUCGAUCUAUCUGGGCCUUUGGACCAGACGCCACAGGUCCAAAUAUCUUGGUGGACGACACGCUGCCAUCAGAGGUAGAUAAAAGUUUACUUGGAGCUGUGAAGGACAGCAUCGUCCAAGGAUUUCAGUGGGCAACCAGAGAAGGUCCACUGUGUGAUGAACCCAUCAGGAAUGUAAAGUUUAAGAUUCUGGACGCAGUGAUUGCCCAGGAGCCCUUACACCGUGGUGGAGGUCAGAUAAUCCCCACUGCUAGGAGAGUGGCCUACUCUGCUUUCUUGAUGGCCACACCUCGUAUGAUGGAGCCAUACAACUUUGUGGAGGUGAUGGCCCCAGCUGAUUGUGUGUCGGCAGUUUACACUGUCUUGGCCAAACGCAGAGGUCACGUUACCCAGGAUGCACCAGUGCCAGGUUCGCCACUGUACACAAUAAAGGCAUUCAUUCCUGCCAUUGACUCAUUCGGAUUCGAAACAGAUCUGAGGACACACACACAGGGACAAGCUUUCUGUCUGUCUGUGUUUCAUCACUGGCAGAUUGUGCCAGGAGAUCCCCUGGAUAAGAGUAUCCUGAUUCGACCCCUAGAGGCUCAGCCUGCUACUCAUUUGGCCAGAGAGUUUAUGAUCAAAUCUCGGCGUAGAAAGGGUUUGAGUGAGGAUGUCAGUAUCAACAAGUUCUUCGACGACCCUAUGUUGCUGGAGUUGGCCAAACAAGAUGUGAUGCAGAGCUACCCAAUGUAAACUGUGUUCAUAAUACAUUACUGACAAUGACUCUUCAGUUGUGCGUUUUUCUCAUAGUGAAUCAUCAUGUUGUCACAAUAAUCAUGAAGAAUAAAUUUUAUGUAUAG